rnacentral:rRNA from 1 species
UGAGGUAAGAGCUCACCAAGGCAUCGAUCAGUAGCUGGUCUGAGAGGAUGAUCAGCCACACUGGGACUGAGACACGGCCCAGACUCCUACGGGAGGCAGCAGUGGGGAAUUUUCCGCAAUGGGCGAAAGCCUGACGGAGCAACGCCGCGUGAGGGAUGAAGGCCUCUGGGCUGUAAACCUCUUUGCUCAAGAGAAGAUCGACGUACUUGAGAUAGCACGCUGUCGUGCAGCAGCGCGUAUACCGGAGUGGCAAGCGUUAUCCCAAUUAUUGGGCGUAAGCGUCGCAGGCGGCCUUUCAAGUCUGCUGUAAAACGUGGAGCUUAACUCCAUCAUGGCAGUGGAAACUGUUGGGCUUGAGUGUGGUAGGGGCAGAGGGAAUUCCCGGUGUAGCGGUGAAAUGCGUAGAUAUCGGGAAGAACACCAGUGGCGAAGGCGCUCUGCUGGGCCAUAACUGACGCUCAUGGACGAAAGCCAGGGGAGCGAAAGGGAUUAGAUACCCCUGUAGUCCUGGCCGUAAACGAUGAACACUAGGUGUCGGGGGAAUCGACCCCCUCGGUGUCGUAGCCAACGCGUUAAGUGUUCCGCCUGGGGAGUACGCACGCAAGUGUGAAACUCAAAGGAAUUGACGGGGGCCCGCACAAGCGGUGGAGUAUGUGGUUUAAUUCGAUGCAACGCGAAGAACCUUACCAGGGUUUGACAUCCUGCGAAUCUCUUGAAAACGAGAGAGUGCCCUCGGGACGCAUGACAGGUGGUGCAUGGCUGUCGUCAGCUCGUGUGUGAAUGUGGUUAGUCCCGCACGAGCGCAACCCACGUCCCUAGUUGCCAGCAUUUAGUUGGGCACUCUAGAGAGACCGCCGGUGAUAAACCGGAGGAAGGUGUGGAUGACGUCAAGUCAUCAUGCCCCUUACAUCCUGGGCUACACACGUACUACAAUGCUACGGACAAAGAGCAGCAAGUUCGCGAGGACAAGCAAAUCUCAUAAACCGUGGCUCAGUUCAGAUCGUAGGCUGCAACUCGCCUACGUGAAGGAGGAAUCGCUAGUAAUCGCAGGUCAGCAUACUGCGGUGAAUACGUUCCCGGGCCUUGUACACACCGCCCGUCACACCAUGGAAGUUGGCCACGCCCGAAGCCGUUACUCCAACCCUUGUGGAGGAGGACGUCGAAGGUGGGGCUGAUGACUGGGGUGAAGUCGUAACAAGGUAACC